UACGGAGGGUGCAAGCGUUGUCCGGAAUCACUGGACGUAAAGGGCGCGUAGGCGGCUCAUGAAGGCUGUGGUGAAAGUCCGGGGCUCAACCUCGGAUCGGCCGUGGCGACUCGUGGGCUGGAGCACUGUAGAGGCGGGUGGAAUUCCGGGUGUAGCGGUGGAAUGCGUAGAGAUCCGGAAGAACACCAGUGGCGAAGGCGGCCCGCUGGGCAGUGGCUGACGCUGAGGCGCGACAGCGUGGGGAGCAAACAGG
rnacentral:rRNA from 1 species